rnacentral:rRNA from 1 species
AUUGAACGCUGGCGGCAGGCCUCACACAUGCAAGUCGAACGAGGGGCGGACGGGUGAGUAAUGUCUGGGAAACUGCCCGCUGGAGGGGGAUAACUACUGGAAACGGUAGCUAAUACAGCAUACCAUACGAUGUGCCCUGCUUGGAUUAGCUAGUAGGUGGGGUAACGGCUCACCUAGGAGACGAUCCCUAGCUGGUCUGAGAGGAUGACAAGCCACAGUGGAACGUAGAAACGGUCCAGACUCCGACGGGAGGCAGAAGUGGGGAAUAUUGGACAAUGGGCGCAAGCCUGAUGCAGCCAUGGCGCGUGGAUGAAGAAGGCCUUCGGGUUGUAAAGUACUUUCAGCGAGGAGGCGUUACUCGAAGAAGAAGCACCGGCUAACUCCGUGCCAGCAGCCGCGUAAUUC